AGCAGCCGCGGUAAUUCCAGCUCCAAUAGCGUAUAUUAAAGUUGUUGCAGUUAAAAAGCUCGUAGUUGAAUUUCGGGAUCAAUAUGUUGGUCGUGCCUUGGUACGUACUAAUUUAUUGGUUUCUUCCUUCUGACGAACCAUGAUGUCAUUAAUUUGGUGUCUUGGGGAAUCAGGACUGUUACUUUGAAAAAUUAGAGUGUUUAAAGCAGGCUCACGCUUGAAUACAUUAGCAUGGAAUAAUGAAAUAGGACGUUUGAUUCUAUUUUGUUGGUUUCUAGGAUUGACGUAAUGAUUAAUAGGGAUAGUUGGGGGCAUUAGUAUUCAAUUGUCAGAGGUGAAAUUCUUGGAUUUAUUGAAGACUAACUACUGCGAAAGCAUUUGCCAAGGAUGUUUUCAUUAAUCAAGAACGAAAGUUAGGGGAUUCGAAGACGAUCAG
rnacentral:rRNA from 1 species